UCUUCAUUACGCGUGCUCUCUCGCCGGUCAGAGAGACGAGAGAGCGGGUGAAAUGGAGAGA
rnacentral:pre_miRNA from 1 species